UACCAGCUCUCCGAGUUGUAGGGAUGAUUAUUGGGCUUAAAGCGUCCGUAGCUGGCUUAGCAAGUCUCCUGUUAAAUUCAGCGACCUAAUCGUUGAGCCGCGGGAGAUACUACUAGGCUAGGAGGCGGGAGAGGUCGACGGUACUUUCGGGGUAGGGUGAAAUCCUAUAAUCCCGGGAGGACCACCAGUGGCGAAGGCUGUCGACUAGAACGCGCUCGACGGUGAGGGACGAAAGCUGGGGGAGCGAACCGGAUUAGAUACCCGGGUAGUCCCAGCUGUAAACUAUGCGGGCUAGGUGUUGGGGUGGCUACGGGCCACUUCAGUGCCGCAGGAAAGCCAUUAAGCCCGCCGCCUGGGGAGUACGGCCGCAAGGCUGAAACUUAAAGGAAUUGGCGGGGAGCACCACAAGGCGUGAAGCUUGCGGUUC
rnacentral:rRNA from 1 species